UGUUUCGGCUAGGGGGUCAUCCCGACUUACCAACCCGAUGCAAACUACGAAUACCGAAGAAUGUUAUCACGGGAGACACACGGCGGGUGCUAACGUCCGUCGUGAAGAGGGAAACAACCCAGACCGCCAGCUAAGGUCCCAAAGUCAUGGUUAAGUGGGAAACGAUGUGGGAAGGCACAGACAGCCAGGAUGUUGGCUUAGAAGCAGCCAUCAUUUAAAGAAAGCGUAAUAGCUCACUGGUCGAGUCGGCCUGCGCGGAAGAUGUAACGGGGCUAAACCAUGCACCGAAGCUGCGGCAGCGACACUAUGUGUUGUUGGGUAGGGGAGCGUUCUGUAAGCCUGCGAAGGUGUGCUGUGAGGCAUGCUGGAGGUAUCAGAAGUGCGAAUGCUGACAUAAGUAACGAUAAAGCGGGUGAAAAGCCCGCUCGCCGGAAGACCAAGGGUUCCUGUC
rnacentral:rRNA from 1 species